AACCUGGAGAAGGACUGCCAGGUGUCACAUAUUAUCUAUUUAAGGACUGAUCUUCCUGCCCUGCCUCAAGGUCAACUUCAGUCCUAAGUGGAAGAGAGGAGAGAGCACUUCUAGGAGGUCUUAAACGAUUCUGUUAGAAGAGGGAAGUUUGAAAAUCUUCCUGGCUUCACUUCUUGAACUUUCCAAUUGCUGAUGCUGGCAAGACAGACUAGGACCUUGCUCCAAGAUGACCAGUGAUGACUUCAGAAAGGGUCCUGGUCAGAAGUUGAAAAUAAGGGAGAGAGAGGAAGAAAACCACAAAGAAGCAUAUGAAAAGUGGAAAAAUACAGAGCUAGAGGUGAACCUAAACACUCAGAGGUAAUUUGCCUUGAGGAGCAAGAACCCUUGAGACCUGUGUGUAGACUUUGGAAAAAAAGAACCUGUGAACACCAGUAAAGGGCUAUGAACGUGCCAUCCUCUGACAGGUUCUCCAAACCGUUUGGUCUCCUUUCCUGAGGUGCUAUGGCAGAACUCUGUGAACCUAAGAUGUGUAUAUUCUGCAGUUCUCUUGCCAAGGCAAUGGAGUCACCUCUCCUGUACCCUUGUAACUUUGAGUUAGUAAGGUCAGCUUGACUUCAGAGCCACUUAAAGCAGCAGCAGUGGAACUCACCAGGAGCAAAUCCCAGGCUGAGCAGCUCCAAGUUCAACUCCACCAGCCUUCAUUUGAAAUGUUUGGGCAGAGAAGCACAAUCUGCCUUGACUCUCCCUGCCUCUCCGGGCUGCAGUUCUGCUCUCCCUAACCAAGCGCAUGUUUACUUAAUACAAUUUGUAGCAAAUGUAAUAGACAUGUGGAGCUGAAAGAGAGGCUGAGUAUCUAAAUUGCAAAGACCACAAAUCCGUCACUGAGUAGAUAGAUAUGCUAAGUGAAGGACAUUUUUACUGGAGUAUCUGACAGAACUGGAAAUCACAAUGCAGAGCGAUUUUAUCACAGAGGAUUUUCAAUUUGUUGUUGAGAAGGAUGGGUCAGUAAGCAUCCUCUUUAUCCCUAAUGGCUAAAGAAUGUAAAUAAUCUUCUUGUAACCAUUCUUCAUGUAUGUUUUCUAUCUAGGUGAGGUAUAUUUACUUCUAGGGAUAUUUUUUCCCUCCUAUCAAAAGAGCAUAAGGAUU